GCCAGGCAUGGUGGUGUGCACCUGUAGUCCCAGCUACUUGGGAGGCUGAAGCAGGAGAAUUGCUUGAACCCAGGAGUUUGAGGCUACAGUGAGCUAUGAUUAUGCCACUGUACUCUAGCUUGGGUGACAGAGUGAGAUCCUGUCUCUU
ensembl:misc_RNA Metazoa_SRP Metazoan signal recognition particle RNA